rnacentral:lncRNA from 1 species
AAUAAUUUAGCAACUUCAAAAUAUAAACCCCAUUCAAUCAUUCAUAAUAUCCAAGCUUUAUGACCCAAAACAUAAUCAAGCUCAAUUAGCAAAAGAAUAGGCAUACAUGCAACUUUAUUAUUUUUUUAGAACAUUAUUGGUUUUUCCGGAAUGUCAGUCAAUCUUUUUACGUGAGUGCAGACAUUGGUGAUAUUGACCUCGGUUACUCAAUUGGUCACACUUCUGAAUGGCUAUUAGCUCUACUCAUAUGUAAUACCCUGCCCAUCACUGUGCUAAAAUAAUUUAUAAACUCUAUUUAUACGGGCC